GGGCUGGGGGCUGCCAAAUAGUGGGGCUGGGGGCUGCCAUAUAGUGGGAGUCGGGGCUGCCAAAUAGUGGGGCUGGGGGCUGCCAAAUUGUGGGGCUGGGGGCUGCCAAAUUGUGGGGCUGGGGGCUGCCAUAUAGUGGGGCUGGGGGCUGCCAAAUAGUGGGGCUGGGCGCCGCUCACCGAGAAGUAGAGGGCGGCCGGGGUCCCGUUGAGCCGCAGCUGCAUUGGGGUCUCCAUGUUGAAGGGGGUGGAGAAGUUGGAGGGCCAGGGGGUGGGGAUGGAGGCGUUGGGGGCACCCAGGGCCCAGUAGGCCUCGAACACUUUGCCCACGUCCUGCGCCGCGCAGCUGCAGUUGUAGAUGGCGACGCCCAGCUCCUUCACCUGCGGGUGCCGAGAGCACGGAGCCGGGGUCACCAACCCCACACAACCCCACACAACCCCACCAAAACCUCAUCAAAACCCCACACAACCCCAUCAACACCCAAUACAACCCAGCAAACCCCCACCAAAACCCAUCAAAACCCAACACAACCCAACACAACCCAACACAACCCAACACAACUCAACACAACCCAACACAACCCCACACAACCCCACCAAAACCCAACACAACCCAACACACCCCAACAAAACCCCAUCAAAACCCAUCAAAACUCAACACAACCCCACACAACCCAACACAACUCAACACAACCCUCCUGAAACCCCACACAACCCCAUCAAAACCCAACACAACCCAACACAACCCCAACACAACCCCAAAACAACACAACCCCACACAACCCCACACAACCCCACACAACCCAGCACAACCCCAUGGAGUCACCAAUCCCAUCCCAUCCCCAUCAGUGUGGGUCACCACCCCCAUCCCAGCGCCACGGGAAGCAUCACCGACCCCCUGAAGGGGACGCGGUGCGGCUGGGGGUGACGGGGGACUCCGAGCCAUUUUUGGGGUGGAUUUGGGUUUUUUUGGGUCCCCACCUGGGUGAGGGAGCGCCAGUCCAUGUUGGCACUGCCGAUGUAGAGGUGGGCGCCGUCCACGACCCACAGCUUGGUGUGCAGCACCCCGCCUGCCAGCCGCCCCACAUCCACCAUCCGCACCGCAGCACCUGGGGGGCAACGAGUCCCCAGAGCCCACCUCUGGGACCCCCAUAUCCC
rnacentral:lncRNA from 1 species